UUUAUUUUUUUCGUGCACAGCAAGGGAUCCAUGAAGAGUUGCUGAUUCCUCUUUUCCAUGAGCCAUUUUCGUUCUUCUCAAAUGCCAUAAAUGUGCCGUCCAUGUGAGGGAAUGUGCCUCUUCGUGGAGAUUAAAAAGCUAUGACUCCUCACAUUUAUUUGGCAGCCCAUUUCUCUUCCCCAAGUUGGCCUUUGAGCUCCCCAAGCAUCCAUAAGAGCUUUCACACAAGUUGGACGAAUUUAGGCCAAUCUAAACAAUUCUAUUCAGCCAUUUCAGCUCAACCAUCACCUCAUUAAUUCAAGGCUAUUAGAAGACAUCAAAUGGCUGUCCAUUGACGUCUCCAAAGCUGGGAAUCUUCAAGAAAGCUUCAAGGGACGUUCUAGGAAGCUACAUGAAAUUUUCAAUUCAUUUGCUUUGAAAAUAAGCUGACUUUUUAGCUGCUCAAGUGUCCAUUCGGCUAGCCUAGGAAUUUAGCUAUAAAUAGUUUGCUUUGUAAUUGUUUUGGGGUUAGACAAUAUUUUUUUAAAACUUAUAUGAAAUUUGUUUACUUUGUGAGUUUGUUUUCAACUCUCAUUGUUCUCCAAGGGCUGGUUAGACUUAUCAAGUAACCCUUGUGGCGUCAACCCGUUUUUAUAUUUCGAACUUAUCACUUUGCACCCAAAGUGUGGCGUUCAAAGUUAUACCGAGGUUCCUAUCAUCUUUGAUAGUGGGUCGAGGUUCCAUUUUAUUCGUUUUCCAUCCAUACGACAUUUAACCUUUCCUAAGUAUUCGUAUCAGUCCCGGGUUAACACACUUAUAUUGUGUUGGUUCAACUUGAAUACUUGGUUUUCAUUCACCUAUCAACCUCAAUACAUUCCAUAACCCCUUUUGAACUAAAUUUGAGCCUUUAUCUCUUCUUUCUUAACCUAUUUCGUCCACCCUCGAGUAUUACUCCAAUUCACGAUCGGGAACAACAACGACUCGGAUUCAUCAACGAGGCUGGGGGCGUAUCAUUUGGUAUCAGAGCUAGCUGAAUCGGAGUAAGAUCGACGUUAUCGGUAUUACGGUAUUGUAAAAAAAUUCAAAAAAAACUUGAAAAAAAAAUUCAAAAAAAAAAUUCAAAAAAAAAGUUUGUAUUCAAUUUAUUUUUACUUUUUGUAUUUAGUAUUGAAGGAAAAAAAAGAAGAAAAAAAAUUCAGAAUUAAAAAAAAAAAGAAGAAAAAAAUAUCGAAAUUGAAAAAAAAAGAGUGAUUGAAAUUCAUUUUGGGUUUGUAAAAGCAUUGCUUGUUGCCCGAAGGACCAUAUCUAUAUAGCCACACUUAACCAUUUCUAUUUUGUUUGAUAGCCUACCAUUUCCGACAUCAUUACCCACCAAGCCAAAUCAAUUUUGUAAGCCGACGCCAAACGGUAUUGAUUCGUCGACUUAGUUUGCGAAGAACUUCGGGAGGCGAAAAAUCGAGUGGAAAAAGGCAAGAGUGAUUGGUGAGACCAUUUGAGAGAAGUAAAAGCCAAGUUGUGUGAAUUUUCUUUGCGAGUGAAACGUGAGAUUUUUGUGGUGAGCAAUUAAAUCAUGUCUCAAGAAGAAUUUUUCGAAUCAGAAUUCCAAUAUUUGAUGCAAGAAAUGCGUAGAAUGGUAAAAUUAAAAUUUGAUAAAUUGCAUUAUCGUUUGGGCCAAGUGGAGGAAAAGGCCCGACGGAAACAAAAUCUACCAAGUCGAGAAACGGAGUUAAGAUCAUCCCGACGACACUACUCGACAAGAGACUCUUAUCAAGACUUCUAUUCAACAAGGCGUUCGAGACCAAGAGAAGCAAACUCCGAGUUUGAGUCUUUCCGAGAUGAUAAACGAAAAGGUAAACGUGUCUCUACAAGUGCCUCAAUUUAUUCAUCUACAAAGGAUUAUUUAUGAAGAGGUGCACGUGUUUCAAGAGUGUCAAAGUACUCGGCUACGAAAGAUUUAUUACAAAGAGAUGAUUGUCAUUUGUAUGAAGAAUCCUUUUCUUAUUCUCAACAAAAGGUUUCUCAUUUUGAUGAUUUCUACUUUUGUAAUGGAAUUGAAAUAGCAUGUGAAAAAGAAAAAGAGCGCGAGCGAGAAAAUGAAAAUGAAAAAGAAAUGAAAGAAAAAGAAGAUGAGUGUGAGAUAGAAAAGAAAAUUGAAAAUGAGAUUGAGAAUAAAAACGAGUGCGAAAAAGAAAAGGAAACUGAAAAAGAGAGUGAGAUUGAAGGAAGAAACGAGAGUGCAAAAGAAAUGAGUGAUAUGGUAAAAGAAAGAGGAUUUGAAAAUGAGUUGGAAAAAGAAAGAAAUGAAAAGGAUGAAACUGAAAAAGAAAGGAGUGUUGUUACUAACCAUCCUAUGAAUUUUCCUUGUUUUGUUUCUACAUUUCAAGUUUCUCGAAAUCCCAUCGAUCAAUUUCAACUUCAAUACUUUUCUAAGGAGAAACGAUUUCGAUUAGUCGAGAAAGGUAAGAUCGUAGAUGACCCUAGUCCACAAGUGCUUAAAGGUAAGCCAUGUAAGGGAUCUACUGUAUUUGAGUCUUCUCAAUCUUACUUGAUUCUUGAUGACGAGAUUAGCAAAGACUUAGUUUGUGAGAAAGUUUUUCAUCUUGAUCUGAUUGGAAAUCAUAAUUUGAUUGUUGAUAAAUGUGUUUUACAUAGUAAUGUGAAAUAUCUUUCUGCUCAUGAGCCUAUCAUUGUCAAGAUUGAUUAAGAAGUAAGUCCAGGUAAGCCCAAACAAAAUUUGGGAUUGUGUGAUGAAAAGUUGACAUCUAAUCUGUGUGCUUGUGAUGAUCAUGUGAAUUAUCUAAAUUGUGGUGUGAACUUUUCUUGUUUACGUGUGCGAAUGAAAUAUGAAGGGUUUGAUUGCUCGAAUGUAUGUAUGCCUAACUCCUAUUUGCUUGACAUGUGUGAAGUCUUGGUGAAGAAGAAAUUUUUGUUGCGUUGCGAAACGACCAAUGAAAAUCGCAUUUUUAAACCCGGGAUAUACAUUCCUAAGUUAACGUCAAGCCAAGCAAGAGGAAGCUUCGUUUUUGACCCCGGAGAUUAUUAUUCUUUGUUCUUGUUAAAAGGGUUUGGAUUUUGCAAUUUUGACUUUCGAGAUUAUGUCUUUCGACUGUUUUGUGGUUCGGAUUUGUUUCUAUCCAUGAACUUUUUGAUUCAUUUUGGAAAGGUAAGACCGAAUUUCAUUUUUGAUCCUGGCAUUGGGUUAAGCAUCCCAAUUUUGAAUAAGCAUCUAAAAAUAUCAUUUGUGUUUAUAAUUUUUAGUGUCUCUAAUUCCUUUCAUUCUUGUGUAGGUGACACUCUAAAUUGUUUCCCUCUUAAAGAGUGAGGGCGUGGAAAUAAUUCAAUUUCUUAUCGAACCAUUUGUGAUUUUCAAAGUUUAGGAAAUGAUUCUAUUCGGAUCAUGAACAAAAGGGUUCGAGAUCUUGAAAAAAAUUUUCUCGAGCAAAUGGCCUGAUUUGAGGACAAAUCGCCUUAAAGAGGGAGGGGAUGAUACGACCACGCCUCGGGCACAUUUUUCGAUCAGCUCCAUAAGUAUUUCUUGCACACCCAUGCGAGCUAAAUUAGCUCAAUUGCAUCUCGCUGAGCUUCGUUUAGCUUGUUUCCAGCUCAAUGGGAUCAUUUUGCUCAAUUUGAGUUUAUUUUAAUUCUUAAAUUUUCAUUUGCUAAAAUAAAUUGAAUAAGUUAGUUUAUUUAUUUAUUCCAGCACAACUAAGUGUUAGUAUUAAAUUUAUUAAAAUUGGACAUUUUAAUUAGGUGUUUUAAAUAUGUUUUAUUUUUAUGUUUUUUUUAAUGUGUCCUAUUUUCAUACAUAGCAUAAAUAUGUCUAGGCUAUUACAUCUAUUUAUUAUGACGAAUUUAAUGCUGCCACUGCAUGUUAUAAAUAUGUCAGGACGAAAUUAAUGCUGCUGCUACAUGUUUGGACGAAUUUAAUGUAUGUUUUUAAGGUGUCCAGCUGAAUUUAAUUGUCAUUACAUCAUUUAAUUUGCUUUGCUACAACCGAAUUUAAUGAUGUCUUAAAUGGUGUCCAGUUGAAGUUAAUUGUGGCUGCCGAAUUAAAUAUGUCUAGUUAACCAUUUAAUGUUGUCUUAACAUGAAUUAAUGGUUGUUGCAUGCAGGUACAUGGACAGCAUUAAAAGAAGUGGUUGUUGCCGAAAUUAAAAUUGCUGGAAUUAAUGUGCAGCAAAAGCAAUUAUGGAUGACCAUUCAAUGGAUGCUGGAAGCAUUUAAGGAGCUGCUUGUGCUUUUUCAUGUGGCCAUUUAAUGGACGAAAUUAAAGAAGCUGCUUGCUGAUUUAUUGUGCAGCAAAGCCAUGAAUUAAAUGUGAUGUUCCACAUGCAAGGAACGUCUACUUAAUGAGCUACUGAUUUAUUUUUUUCGUGCACAGCAAGGGAUCCAUGAAGAGUUACUGAUUCCUCUUUUCCAUGAGCCAUUUUCGUUCUUCUCAAAUGCCAUAAAUGUGCCGUCCAUGUGAGGGAAUGUGCCUCUUCGUGGAGAUUAAAAAGCUAUGACUCCUCACAUUUAUUUGGCAGCCCAUUUCUCUUCCCCAAGUUGGCCUUUGAGCUCCCCAAGCAUCCAUAAGAGCUUUCACACAAGUUGGAUGAAUUUAGGCCAAUCUAAACAAUUCUAUUCAGCCAUUUCAGCUCAACCAUCACCUCAUUAAUUCAAGGCUAUUAGAAGACAUCAAAUGGCUAUCCAUUGACGUCUCCAAAGCUGGGAAUCUUCAAGAAAGCUUCAAGGGACGUUCUAGGAAGCUACAUGAAAUUUUCAAUUCAUUUGCUUUGAAAAUAAGCUGACUUUUUAGCUGCUCAAGUGUCCAUUUGGCUAGCCUAGGAAUUUAGCUAUAAAUAGUUUGCUUUGUAAUUAUUUUGGGGUUAGACAAUAUUUUUUUAAAACUUAUAUGAAAUUUGUUUACUUUGUGAGUUUGUUUUCAACUCUCAUUGUUCUCCAAGGACUGGUUAGACUUAUCAAGUAACCCUUGUGGCGUCAACCCGAUUUUAUAUUUCGAACUUAUCACUUUGCACCCAAAGUGUGGCGUUCAAAGUUAUACCGAGGUUCCUACCAUCUUUGAUAGUGGGUCGAGGUUCCAUUUUAUUCGUUUUCCAUCCAUACGACAUUUAACCUUUUCUAAGUAUUCGUAUAAGUCCCGGGUUAACACACUUAUAUUGUGUUGGUUCAACUUGAAUACUUGGUUUUCAUUCACCUAUCAACCUCAAUACAUUCCAUAACCCCUUUUGAACUAAAUUUGAGCCUUUAUCUCUUCUUUCUUAACCUAUUUCGUCCACCCUCAAGUAUUACUCCAAUUCAUGAUCGGGAACAACAACGACUCGGAUUCAUCAACGAGGCCGGGGACGUAUCAAGUUGUGCCGUAACAUGAUGCGACUGGGAUCGCAUCAAUCCCGGUCGCAUCAUGUUACGACAUAACUCAACGCUACCGAGAUUGGUCCAAACUCGAGGGGCCCAAGUGCAAAAUGAAGUUUUUAAUUUUAGUUUGUCAAUUUGGCUACUGAAAAAUAAGGACUUUGAUUCAUUAAUUUUUAGUUAUUUUAGUUUGUGUUUUUUAAUUAUGUCAUAGUUUGCACAUCAUUAAUAUGUGUUCUGCAUUUAAUAAAGUCAUGCA
rnacentral:lncRNA from 1 species